AGGAGAUUAUCCGUACCUGAAUUUAUUAAAUGUUAAAUUCUCUAAACUUUUAGCAGUGUUCUUGUUGCAUACUUCCAGGUUACAACCUUGGCAAGGUCUGGGGAAAACUUGUUACGUGUUGCUGAGCAUUGUGGAAUGAUGAUUCCCAAUACGGACUUCUGUUUUGAAGGGUCGUGCUAUCAUUGUGAAAUGGAAGUAAUUGGAGGAGCACAAGAGGCCGGCCGUCAAGAUAGUUCAGAUCUUAUUAGAAGCUGUUUAUGCCCUGUUCCUGCAGGAAGGACUUCUAUAGACAUCAAUGUAUUUGAUGAUGAUGGUAUGUGAGUAAAUUAAAACAUAUUGAGUCAGAUAAUUCUCGAUUGCAAUAAUCGCAAGACUUCAAGCUCCUUCGGUGUUUUGCAAGAUAGCGUUACACUAAAACUUGAGAAGGAAGUCCAUGAAGAAAGACAUUAAUGUGAAGAGCUUGUUCCCAAGAUAUUUUUUUUAUAUGAUUAACAGACCGUGGGAUCAUUAUUUGUAUUCUUACCAAAUUGAUAAAAGGCUGAGGAAGGACAGAAAAAUCAUUAACAUUUGUUAGGCAUGAUAACCCAUUGAACUCAGAGGAUACUGUUACAAGCUAAGCAACAAGAGGGCCAACGUACAAAGAAAAACGUAUCAAUCUCUAGUGUCUUUUUGUAAGUGUUUCAUUUUACUCAUAUUGCAAUGGUUAGUUUUUAGAAAAUUUUCAUAUUGGAAA